GAUUUCUUAACCCGGAGUGGUAAGUAUUCCCGCCUGUCACGCGGGUGACCCGGGUUCGAUCCCCGGCAACAACG
rnacentral:tRNA from 1 species